ensembl:miRNA MIR135B microRNA 135b
CUCUGCUGUGGCCUAUGGCUUUUCAUUCCUAUGUGAUUACUGUUCCAAACUCAUGUAGGGCUAAAAGCCAUGGGCUACAGUGAGGGGCG